rnacentral:sRNA from 1 species
UUGACUUGCAAAUGAUAAUUGUUAUUAUUAUCGCAGCUGAUCGCGAGAUCAGCCGAUAAGCUCAAGAGACUUACAGGACUCUUAAGGUUAUCUCCUCAUCAGGCUAAUCACGGUUAUUGACCCGGCUCUUGCCGGGUCUUUUUUUU